CGCCGCUUAAUUAAAACUACUGUUGACCUGGGUGAGGUUAUCCAAGACCGGACAGAUUCCUUCCACUCUUCACGGCGAACACAAGUCACCAAUCUUCUUAUAACUUGACGUGAAUAUUAUUUUCAGUAUUGCACGAAGUCUUCUGCUGUUUCACAAUAAGGAUUAUCUUGCCAUGAGGUUCAUGUAAGACUUCACGUUAAUCAUCCCUGCUUUCGUAAUUACUGAUGGGCUGGACAUGAGAUCCGCUGCUACGUCCAAGGAAACUGCCAAUCAAGAUGGUAUCAAUUUGGUGACCGUUGGAUGGAUUAUUGCACCUGGAUGGAUUACGCACCUGAAUGGAUUACUCGACUGAACAAACCAGCGCAAGACAUUCUUUGAGGAUUCGAGGUAUUCGAAGUGUCGGGGAUUUGGUAGCCAGUGCCUAGGAUACCAAACAUCUGGGCGGCAUCGUUGUCUUCCAGGGAAUGUACUGGUUCAAGAUCGCUUUUUACCUUGCUGGGAGUGUUGCUUCAGCUUCGCCUAAUAAAUGCUUGAUCUUUUUGCAUUCGUACGCGUUAAAUAAGGGAUGCAGACUUAUUCGGACCAUGGCUGACUCUGACAGUGGCUGAUCCAGACCUAAGUCUUGUGAUGUACUCCAACUCGUCCCAUCGCCAACUCGGCCCACAUCCAAAUUUACUUUAUUAAAGCUGUUUUUUAUUAUUAUAUUAUGCUAUUUUCUUUUAUUGUGUUUGUUCUCUUUCGAGAUCAGACCUGAGAAAGGUCUCGUUUAUCUCGUUCCAAGUAACCUUGUAAAUAAAUCUGAGGUAAAUAAAACAGUUUGAAAAUAGAAAGAGUAAUCUUUAUAAAUAACUAUGAUAAAAAGUAAAACACAUUGCUAAAAGCUUCUAAAAAAUAAUAAUGUACAUAUUAAGAAACAUAGAUGGCAAUAUGAUGAGAAACUGCCUUCAGAAAUUGUCUGGCCGAUCUUUCAUCAUUAUUAUAUUCGUCCCAUAGUUUUAUAAGUUGGCCGUGAUGUUUAUUAUACUUAUGUUGCUGCUUUCACAAAACCUUCCCUUCUGACAGCAGCCGCACCUGUAAAUUAACUAACUUUGCCUCAUCAUGUAGGAGCUUUAAAAGUAAAUAAAAAAUUUUAAGUUU